GAUGAACGCUAGCGGCAGGCCUAAUACAUGCAAGUCAAGGGGAUAGCAAUAUCACCGGCGGACGGGUGCGUAACGCGUACACAACGUGCCCAAGGGCGGAGGAAAGCGGCGGGAAACUGCCGGUAAUACUCCAUGGUGUUGUUGAGUGGCAUCACUUAACAACUAAAGUACAAGCGCCCUUGGAUCGGUGUGCGUUCGAUUAGCUAGUUGGCGGGGUAACGCCCACAAGGCUUCGAUCGAUAGGGGGUGUGAGAGCAUGACCCCCCCANACGGGUACUGAGACACGGACCCGACUCCUACGGGAGGCAGCAGUAAGGAAUAUUGGACAAUGGGCGGAAGCCUGAUCCAGCCAUGCCGCGUGAAGGACGAAGGCGCUCAGCGUUGUAAACUUCUUUUGGAUGGGAACAAUAACUCCGACUUGUCGGAACUUGAGGGUACCAUCAGAAUAAGCACCGGCUAACUCCGUGCCAGCAGCCGCGGU
rnacentral:rRNA from 1 species